CUGCUCUCCUCUCAGCACCUAUCCUACCCCACAAACCCUCUCUUUUACACUACACACAUACACAAUGCAUCCUUACAUAUACACAAAAACACAAUGCAUCCCUUACACAUACACACACACUGCAUUAAAUUACAUACACAGAAACACACCUUGCAUUCCUUACACACACAAACAACCACCCAGAAACACUACAUCCUUUACAAUAACACAUAACAUAUCCCCUACACACAUACAAUCCACUCCCUGUGAGCGAAAUCCUGGGUCUGGGGGGCCCAGACCUUGAGCUGUGUAAGGGGCCCCAAAAAUGGAACUGCUUCCUGUUCAUUAUUUGUUGUGAGCACUGUUACAGUCUCCAGAGAGCUUCUUCUACACCAAAACUGUGGAGCCAGACUGCAGCCUGAACCCAUCGUCAUCCUCUUGUCCUCAUCUGGUGGUAAGUAGGCAAUCCAAUAUAUUAUUAGUGGUCCUAAUCUCUAAUUUACACCUUACACAUUAAAGGGCCAGUAUAGUCUCCAGAACCACUACAGCUUAAUGUAGUGGUUCUGGUGUCUAUAGCCUGUGCCUGCAUUGUGAUGUCACAUGGUGGGCAGAACAUAUGGGGGUGCGGCACCAGCACUGGUGAAGAGAACACCUCUCCAAAGAGCCAGACACCAUCAAAUGUGUGCAUUUGCCCACACAAAUCAGUUAUGACGAGGAACUGCAUUCAGGUCAAGACCCCGAUGAGGACGACGAGCAUGCAGAUGAGCUUCCCUGAGAGAGAUUCCGACAGUUUGUGCAGAAAAUCUUUGGUUAUGCAAACCUUGGAUAUUGGAGGUGAAGAUCCUGGAUGUGGAGGUACUGGGCUUGUGUGGUUACAGGUGGUCUGUGGUUGUGAGGCCGAUUGGAUGUACUGCCAAAUUCUCUGAAAUGCCAUUGGAGACGGAUUAUGGUAGAGAAAUGAACAUUGAAUGCAUGGGGAAACGGCUCUGGUGGACAUUCCUGUAGUCAGCAUGCCAAUUGCAUGCUCCCUCAAAACUUGCGACAUUUGUGGCAUUGUACUGUGUGAUAAAACUGAACAUUUUAGAGUGGCCUUUUAUUGUGGCCAGCCUAAGGCACACCUUUGCAAUAAUCAUGCUGUCUAAUCAGCAUCUUGAGAUGCCACACCUGUGAGGUGGAUGGAUUAUCUCGGCAAAGGAGAAGUGCUCACUAACACAGAUUUAGACAGAUUUGUGAACAAUAUUUAAGAGAAAUAGGCCUUUUGUGUACAUAGAAAAAGUCUUAGAUCUUUGCAUUCAGCUCAUGAAAAAUGGAGGCAAAAACAAGUGUUGCGUUUAUAAUUUUGUUCAGUGUGUGUGUGUGUAUUUGUGUAUGGGAUAAUGAUAGGACGUAUAAUUAAAAGUAUGUAAUCCGAUAAGAACAAAAGACGAGAGGUUAGACCUGCAAUAAAAAGGGAAAAAAAUUAAACUAUUUUAUUUAUAUUCCACAAAUAACAAUUAUUUAGACAUAUUGUAGAAAGCAAGUCUGAUUUCUUUCUCUGGGUUUGGAAUGUACCUGUUGUAUGCAGAGGAUUUCCAGCAUCCUAUGUUCUUAAUGAUAUGUGUCGGAACAUGGUUACUAGAAGCUGCUGUGGCUGCCCCAAUAAGGAAUGAAUGACCUGAGAAGGAGGCUGGAUUGAGGACUAAUCUGAGUAAUAGUGC
rnacentral:lncRNA from 1 species